GCAUUAACAUUUCCAAUUCAAACAGUGUCAUUCUCUGCUUACCCGUUGCCAUGGUGACUCAUCAAAUCAGCGCUCCAUUGAUACUGGCUUUUCAGAGCUGUGGUGCACAUGCUUAACUCCGGGGGGAAACUACUCCGAGUUGAUUUAACCAACAACAGUUUGUUGAACCCGCUUCGUGAAACAGACUCCAGCAGACAAACUAAACCACAAUCAACACUAAAAGAAACUACACUACCAAACCAACAAAAACCACAAAACCAAACAGGAAUAACCUGAACCAAACACAGCAAUGUACUUACAAAAACCAGGGGAAAACCAAACUAAAGGCUAGGCAGGCUAGGAGAACCCAGAAGCUAGUGGGGAAACAAAAUUGGCAGACUGAAGACUGGGGAGCAUCCAAAAACAGACAGGAGUUGAACCGAGUCCACAAGAGCAAAAUCCAGGACAGCAAAAUCUGUUGAGUCCAAGAGGCUGAAGCUGACAAGCAGCAGAAGGCUUGGUGGGGAAACCCACAAUCCAGGAACACAGCAGAAGCCAUGGAGGGAUGUGAGCCGAUGAUCCAGCGAUGAGUGACUGGAAGCACAGAGCUUAAAUACUGGAGGCUCAGAUUCCCACAAAGACUCACAUGGCUUCACACGCUCUGCUCCCUCAUGGACUCUGCUUCCCCACUUCUGGACUCCUUUUUUCCUCGACCCUUUUUCUCCGUCUUGUGAGUAUCCUUGCUUAGUUUACUUUUGUUAAUCCAGUUUAGUAUUGGUUGACUUCCGUUUCUGUAUUGGUAGUGUUUGCUGGGUUUUGAAUAGUUGGGUUUAGUUUUGUUUCCCCAGUUCAGCUCUCCAUUUAUGUACUAGUUUAGUUAUCUUUUUAAAUGAAACUCUUUCCAUUAUUCACCUGUCUGGAAGUCUCUCUGUGUCUGUGCCUGCGUUGUCCAACUCAGGGCCCAAACCGUCCCUUAAAUAACUCUGGGUCCGUUUCACGAAGUAGGUUCAACAAACUCUGUGUAACCCUGAACUCUGAGUUGAUCUACUCUGAGAUAGAAAACUCUGAGUUUUCGGUUUCACAACGGCUGAUUUGAGUUGGUUUAAUCAACUCAGAGUAGUUUCACCCAGAGUGCACCGCAACUAUAAAAAGACAGCAUCAAUGGAACCCCGAUUCGACGACUCACCGUGGUGACGGGGAAGCGGAGAGCUACGUUUUUUACACCACUUGAACUGGACAUCUUAAUGCGUUCAUAUGGCGACUUCGAACACGUUUUUAGAAAGAAGUGCAACACCUGCAGCUGCAAAAGAGAGGGAGACGGCGUGGGAAAACAUUGCUGCCCGGGUCAAUGCGUAAGUUUAAAUCACAAUAAUAUUACAGGGAAACUGUUUAAUAGCAGCCUGUUCUGUUAUUUCAUUUAGGUGCAAUCCUGCGGGGGAGAAGCGCAUGUGGCAGCAGCUGAAGAUGAAAUAUAAGAACAUUGUUCAAACAGCCAACAGAAAGAAAGCAGAUGCCUGUAAAAAGGGAGGUGGCCCAGCACCACCACCUGUAACGGAGGCAGAGGAGCUGGUCCUAAGCCAGAAUUUGGGAAGGCCAGUGGCUGAGGGAAUCCCUGGAGGGAGCUCAUCCUCUGAGACCACAUCCCAAGACACAAGUGCUUUUAUAUAUAUGCGCGAGUGCGUGAGUGAGUGCGUGUAUGUCCCAUGUAUAUGUGGAAUUUUUUAAAGCGUAUUCAUACAAAUAUUUACUUCUCUUUUAGGUCUUUUUUUCUUCACUUGGCCCAACAGAUUCUGAUGGUACUAUCUGCCUGGUGGAGCCCUUCACACCACAACACACCUUGGAACUGAUGAAGAGGAUGAAGCUGUGUCUGCUGCCUUUACAGAGGGGGAUCCAGAAAGACAUCUAGAGGUGUGCCUGAUCAGGAGCAGAGGGUCGUCACCUGACUGAGCCACACCUGCAAUCAGUGGCUCAGCUGCAUUUAACUGCUCUCCUCUCCAGUCUAGACGGGGCUUGCUGACAGGAGCUGGUGUCUGUGGAGAUCCAGCCUCACCUGUGGGUUUUUGUGUCGUUUGGGCCUUGACGGCAUUGUGGACUGCUUUUAGUUGGCAAUAAACCUUUGUUUUCUCACCGUA